rnacentral:rRNA from 1 species
GACGAACGCUGGCGGCGUGCCCAAUACAUGCAAGUAGAACGCUGACUACUUUAGCUUGCUAGAGUAGAAGGAGUUGCGAACGGGUGAGUAACGCGUAGGUAACCUGCCUACUAGCGGGGGAUAACUAUUGGAAACGAUAGCUAAUACCGCAUAACAGUGUUUAACACAUGUUAGAUGCUUGAAAGAUGCAAUUGCAUCACUAGUAGAUGGACCUGCGUUGUAUUAGCUAGUUGGGGGGGUAACGGCCCACCAAGGCGACGAUACAUAGCCGACCUGAGAGGGUGAUCGGCCACACUGGGACUGAGACACGGCCCAGACUCCUACGGGAGGCAGCAGUAGGGAAUCUUCGGCAAUGGGGGCAACCCUGACCGAGCAACGCCGCGUGAGUGAAGAAGGUUUUCGGAUCGUAAAGCUCUGUUGUAAGAGAAGAACGUGUGUGAGAGUGGAAAGUUCACACAGUGACGGUAACUUACCAGAAAGGGACGGCUAACUACGUGCCAGCCGCCGCGGUAA